rnacentral:rRNA from 1 species
UGGGGAAUUUUGCGCAAUGGGCGAAAGCCUGACGCAGCGACGCCGCGUGUGCGAUGAAGGCCUUUGGGUCGUAAAGCACUGUCAAGCGGGAAGAAAUCCUGCGGGCGAAUAACCCGUAGGGAUGACGGUACCGCUGGAGGAAGCACCGGCUAACUCUGUGCCAGCAGCCGCGGUAAUACAGAGGGUGCAAACGUUGUUCGGAAUUACUGGGCGUAAAGAGCGUGUAGGCGGCACGUUAAGUCGUCUGUGAAAGCCCAUGGCUCAACCAUGGAAGUGCAGUCGAUACUGGCAUGCUAGAGUCCCGGAGAGGGUGGUGGAAUUCCCAGUGUAGAGGUGAAAUUCGUAGAUAUUGGGAGGAACACCAGUGGCGAAGGCGACCACCUGGACGGGUACUGACGCUGAGACGCGAAAGCGUGGGGAGCAAACAGGAUUAGAUACCCCUGUAGUCC